CAGUGACAAUGCAUACGAUAACAGCCAGUGUCUGAUGUCACUCAAUGUCAUAGUCAGUGCUGCAGCAAAGCAAGUUUUAAAAACAUGUUUCACUCUCCUUUAAUGCAAAUAUGCAUCAAGUCUGUUUCUGAUGCAUGUCAUAUGUGAUAUACCCUUUAUACCGGCCAAUCAGGCCUCAAUUUCUCACACAACAUUUUCA